UCUUCCAGUCUUCAGGCACCUCUCCUGUUCUCCACAACCUUGCAAAGAUAGUAAAGAGUCAUCUAGCAAUAACAUCCAACAGCUCCCUCAGCACUCGUGUGUGCAUACCAUCAGAACCCAUGGAUUUAUGGAUGUCAAGUGUGCACAAA